rnacentral:misc_RNA from 1 species
GUAGGUGAACCUGCGGAAGGAUCAUUAAUGAUUGAACGUCUGUCGAGCUUGCUCACAGGCACAUCAUAUCCAUAACACCUGUGCACUUGUCGGAUGGCUUAGUGAAGACCGCAAGGUUGGAACUAUCCGUCUACUUUACAUAACAAUUCUGUAACAAAUGUAGUCUUAUUAUAACAUAAUAAAACUUUCAACAACGGAUCUCUUGGCUCUC